CCGGUUAUAAACAGAAGAUCAUAAUUGGAGAGACGAAGUCAUGACAUUAUUAGCAACCGGAACAGAUACUAUUGUUGGCUCAUUGUCUUUUCUACUUGUCACCCUAGGAAAUUACCCAGAAGUCCAGGAUAAGAUAAUAGAGGAGAUCCAGGGAGUGAUGGGAGAUAUGGACCGUGACGUCC